GCUGCAAUUGGUGUGGUUUUUGGAUUUAUAUCUUGGGAGCUCAGUCAAGGCAUCCAAAGCAUACGAGAAAGUUCAUUACAGUAUGCAAAUGACAAUGCCUUGCAGCUUGCCAAGAGCAGCCAAGGCCACUACAACUAGUGAGUAGAGCAGAUUUUCCAGAUCUUUAGGAACAAUAUCAACCUUAUAUCAUCAGUAUUAUAGAUUCAACUGGAGACAAUGGUGAUAUAAAGGAAUUUGUAUAAAGAUAAGUGUGAACGUUUCUGAAAAUGCUCCAUUAAACACAGUAUUCGCUCCAGUUGCAUCCCAUCCCUCGCAACAACAGAAGCAUCAAAGCAAACAAAAAAACAA